GACAGAGGUGCCGAGCGUUAGGCGGAAUCACUGGGCUUAAAGCGUGUGUAGGCGGGCCGUUAAGUGUCUUGUGAAAUCCCCCGGCUCAACCGGGGAAUUGCUGGGCAUACUGGCGGUCUUGAGCAAUCUAGGGGCAGAUGGAACAAGUGGUGGAGCGGUGAAAUGCGUAGAUAUCAGGAAGAACACCCGUGGCUAAGGCGGCUCUCUAGUACGGUACUGACGCUGAGACGCGAAAGCGUGGGGAGCGAACAGG
rnacentral:rRNA from 1 species